UAAAAGGUCGUUCCUUCUAGCGUCUG
rnacentral:piRNA from 1 species